UCAUCAAAGAAGAAAAGCCGAAGUGGGGGAAGAGAUGGGCCCUGCGUGUGCGGAUGUCGCCGGGGUGAGGGUUGACUCCCGCAGCUGCAGAACCGACUCUUGGGAAAGACCGAAGAUUUCUCACUGCUGGCGCUGGGUUUCUGUUGGGGGUCGGGGCAGGGGUGUCCCUGGGUUUUGUUCUCAUGGGCAGAUUCAUUCUGAGUCCUUCCUUAAGGCCAAGCUAACCCCGCGCUCCCGGAAAAGCACUCCACACGACUACACCAGCACAACAAAAGGCGCCUCCCGAAGUGAGUCUAAACGUUCGCGGGACGGGUGGCGGCCGGACGUGGAGACGCACUUCUGUGCGCUCUAAUCUCAGGCGUCCAUCUGGCCCCCGGAGGAGCGGGCAGCGCGGGCUGGCGGGCGGGAGGGCGCCGCGGGCAGAGAAGGGGGAGCCGGGACGGCGCGCGCACGUACCCAGAGGCGCGGGCACGCGCGUCCGCUCUCCUUCACGUUCACCUUGACUGCAGGGGGGGGGCGGGGGAUGGGACUACCUCUCCCCCCGCCCCGCCAAGACUAGCCCUCUCCCCACCCCCGCUGCUGUCCUGCCCUGACGCCUGCUCUGGGCUGGGGGCGGCGGGGGCGGGAGGUGCAAAGUCGCUCCGGUCGCCGCAGCGGCGGGACAGCCGCGCGCUCUCCGCAAUGAUGUCAACUGCAUCCUCCGCAGCACCCCCACCACCACCCCACCCCGGGCCUCGGCCGCCUCCCGGCCUGCGGAAACUCUUGUCCCGUGCGUCCAACCUGGGUCAGCAGAUGUGGCUUCUUUUAGCUGAAUAAUCCGUUAAAGGAAUAAUAAUUUUUAAAAAGGAGAUCGACCUCACCCAAAGAGGACGGCGAGCGAGAUUAGGGCUUGUAGAUCUACUGCCUUUGGUGGGGCUGACUGGAACGCUGCGGACUGUGACCAGUCUCUUAAAAAGAAGAACAAAAAGAGGAAGACCCUGAGUGGAUCCUCGGACAAAGCGCUUUGGGCUCGGCGUGAAGGGACGCGCGGGAGAGCUGGCAGGGGAGAACGAGUGGUCCCCCGUGCCGAAGGGCGCCCGCCGGGCGUGCGGACCUCUGAGGCUAUUCGUCUUGAAUUUUUUUCAGCCUUUUGCGAGAGGACUGCAGCAGCCGAGUUCCGGAAGGCUGAUUCCCCAGAUCCCGACCCCGGACCCCGGCAGCUCGCCCCUGCUGCACGCCCGGCCCGGCUGCGCCAGGACUCAGCGAGCGAGGAAAAAGCCUGGAUCCGAAAGGAUGCGGGAGAACAAAGAGCCUUUGGAAGACGUCGCUGUUAUCUCAUUGUCUGUGUGAUUGGGGGAGCUGCGGUAGGGAGGAUGCUGUGGUCCUUUUUCUCCCUGCUCUCCCCCACCCCCACGUCUCUCCCCGCUGUCAGUGCGCACGCACACGCGCCGCUUUUUACUUGUUUUUCCUUGUUUUCUCAUUCCAUCUUCUCCCCAUCCCCCUUCCUUUCUUCCACCUUGCUUUCCUUCCUCCUUUCCUUCCUCAGGAGAAAGGCCUCUCUCUCCGUGUUCACAGCGGACCUUGAUUUAAAUGUCCAUACAAUUAAGGCACGCGGUGAAUGCCAAGAAUGGGGCUGGCUGAGCACCGUCGAUCCGCGAGGGCCCUCCGAGGAAGGAGCCACAGAGCCGGGUCGCCUUCCGCAGAGCUCGGCGCUGCGGCUUCAGGCGGGAGGGGUCACGGGCUCUCGCCGGCUGGGCUGCCCCAACCGGAGCCCUUGGGGUGCGGAGAUGUGUGGCUUGUGA
ensembl:lncRNA